GAUGAACGUUGGCGGUGUGCCUAAUACAUGCAAGUCGAACGGAGCUAAUAGCAAUAUUGGCUUAGUGGCGAACGGGUGAGUAACGCGUUGGUGAUCUGCCUUGAAGUGUGGAAUAACGUUCCGAAAGGAUCGCUAAUACCGCAUGUGCUCUCGAUUUUCAGAAAGUUGAGAGUAAAGGAUUUAUUCGCUUCAAGAGGAGCCUGCGUCCCAUCAGCUGGUUGGUAGGGUAACGGCCUACCAAGGCUAUGACGGGUAGGGGACCUGAGAGGGUGGCCCCCCACAAUGGAACUGAAACACGGUCCAUACACCUACGGGUGGCAGCAGUAGGGAAUAUUAGAAAUGGACGAAAGUCUGAUCUAGCAACACCGCGUGUGCCGAAGAAGGCCUUCGGGUCGUAAAGCACUUUUUGGAAGGAAUAGGAAGGAAUGUACUUCCAGAAUAAGUCUCGGCUAACUACGUGCCAGCAGCGCGGUAAACUGUAGUCU
rnacentral:rRNA from 1 species